UAGGGAAUCUUCCGCAAUGGGCGAAAGCUUGACGGAGCAACGCCGCGUGAGUGAUGAAGGUCUUCGGAGCGUAAAACUCUGUUAUUAGGGAAGAACAAAUGUGUAAGUAACUAUGCACGUCUUGACGGUACCUAAUCAGAAAGCCACGGCUAACUACGUGCCAGCAGCCGCGGUAAUACGUAGGUGGCAAGCGUUAUCCGGAAUUAUUGGGCGUAAAGCGCGCGUAGGCGGUUUUUUAAGUCUGAUGUGAAAGCCCACGGCUCAACCGGGGAGGGUCAUUGGAAACUGGGAAACUUGAGUGCAGAAGAGGAGAGUGGAAUUCCAUGUGUAGCGGUGAAAUGCGCAGAGAUAUGGAGGAAAACCAGUGGCGAAGGCGACUUUCUGGUCUGUAACUGACGCUGAUGUGCGAAAGCGUGGGGAUCAAACAGG
rnacentral:rRNA from 1 species